UACGUAGGGUGCAAGCGUUAUCCGGAAUUAUUGGGCGUAAAGAGCUCGUAGGCGGUUUGUCGCGUCUGCUGUGAAAUCUGGGGGCUCAACCCCCCAGCCUGCAGUGGGUACGGGCAGACUAGAGUGCGGUAGGGGAGAUUGGAAUUCCUGGUGUAGCGGUGGAAUGCGCAGAUAUCAGGAGGAACACCGGUGGCGAAGGCGGGUCUCUGGGCCGUAACUGACGCUGAGGAGCGAAAGCAUGGGGAGCGAACAGG
rnacentral:rRNA from 1 species